rnacentral:rRNA from 1 species
AACGUAGGUUCCGAGCGUUAUCCGGAUUUACUGGGCGUAAAGCGCGUUCAGGCGGUUUGGCAAGUCGGGCAUGAAAUCUCUCGGCUCAACCGGGAGAGGUUGUCCGAUACUGCUGGACUUGAGGGCAGUAGAGGGUGGUGGAAUUCCGGGUGUAGUGGUGAAAUGCGUAGAGAUCCGGAGGAACCCCAGAGGCGAAGGCGGCGCCCUGGCUCGCAACUGACGCUCAGACACGACAGCAUGGGGAGCGAACGGG